AGAACGAACGCUGGCGGCAGGCUUAACACAUGCAAGUCGAACGGUUGUAGCAAUACAGCAGUGGCAGACGGGUGAGUAACACGUGGGAACCUUCCUAGGGGUACGGAACAACUCAGGGAAACUUGAGCUAAUACCGUAUACGUCCGUAAGGAGAAGGAUUCAUCGCCCCUAGACGGGCCCGCGUAGGAUUAGGUAGUUGGUGAGGUAACGGCUCACCAAGCCUACGAUCCUUAGCUGAUCUGAGAGGAUGAUCAGCCACACUGGGACUGAGACACGGCCCAGACUCCGUACGGGAGCAGCAGUGGGAAUC
rnacentral:rRNA from 1 species